rnacentral:tRNA from 1 species
GGGCCUGUAGCAUAGUCUGGAUAGUGCAGUCGGCUUCGGACCGACUGACCGGGGUUCGAAUCCUCGCAGGCCCA